UUAAACUGAAGAGUUUGAUCCUGGCUCAGAUUGAACGCUGGCGGCAUGCCUUACACAUGCAAGUCGAACGGCAGCACGGGUGCUUGCACCUGGUGGCGAGUGGCGAACGGGUGAGUAAUACAUCGGAACAUGUCCUGUAGUGGGGGAUAGCCCGGCGAAAGCCGGAUUAAUACCGCAUACGAUC
rnacentral:rRNA from 2 species